rnacentral:lncRNA from 1 species
AAACCAAAUCAAAUCCACUGUUAUUCAAACUUAACAAUUACAAUUUUUUUUAAAACAAAAACUGAAAACUGAUUUGGAGAGACUUUGGACACCUUUUUAGUACAAAGACAAUCACACCUCUAGAUGGUAUUUGAUUAAAAUAAAGAACUCCAAAAAAAAAAAACAUGGUUAAUCUAGCCGGUGGCUAACGUAACUAACAAAACAAUUUUCUCUCUUCCUCCUCAUCUUUAUCUCCUUCGAUCUCAAUCCCUUGAACAAAAGUAACAUAAGAGAUCUAAAGUCAAAGAGCUUAAACUCUUUUAUGUCUUUUAAAUAUAUGUAAUUCUUGUAGUUUACGUU